GAGACACGGGGUGACGGAACCAGACGGCACAAUGUACAAAAUGACACAUUGCAAACAAUCAGUGGAAAACUAAUAACAUUAUUUUUCCAUUCCUAAGUGACCAGUGAUGCAAAACUGCAUGCAACGACCACUACAACGAGUGAACAUCGAGUGGCGUACAGAUGACGUGUGCACAGGUCUUCCGCCGUCAUACCAACAUUCCAGCCAGAGCCGCACUGUCAGAUAGGAGGAAAUGAUAACUUCCGAAAACAUCCUCCGUGUUACCAGGGGCCCACCGGUUGAUUCAUUUGCCAAAGCCUAAAAUACAGUUGACGGAGUGUCUGCGACGGAUUAAGGCUCGCGGAAGACCGCACGGACAUCUAAAUGUGCACAAUAUCAACAAAGACAAGG